UACGGAGGGUGCAAGCGUUAUCCGGAUUCACUGGGUUUAAAGGGAGCGUAGGUGGGAUGGUAAGUCAGUGGUGAAAUCUCCGGGCUUAACUCGGAAACUGCCGUUGAUACUAUCAUUCUUGAAUAUUGUGGAGGUAAGCGGAAUAUGUCAUGUAGCGGUGAAAUGCUUAGAUAUGACAUAGAACACCAAUAGCGAAGGCAGCUCACUACACGAAAUAUUGACACUGAGGCACGAAAGCGUGGGGAUCAAACAGG
rnacentral:rRNA from 1 species